GACAAAAGACAAAACGCAGAACAGUGACUCUUACAAAAAUGGUGCCGUGAACCUGAUUCUUCAGAUCAGCUGCUACAGAUCGCCGAGGUUAUGCUGUGAGCAAGUAAGCGUAUAGUACAGCAAUCAGAAAGGAUCCGUUGAUCAUUGAGACCUUCUACUUCCGGACGCCGAGAUGAGCAUUCGCAUUUUCUUUUGCUCCCCCUCGGGAAUAAAAUCAACCGCUCGGAUGAUCCCACACUUCCUCAUUUUUCUACUGUGGAUCACGGAUUUAUAUUUGAAACCACCACGGAUACAAUACCCUCUUGAAAGUGAAAGUCGUGAACUGGAAAUGGACAAUCACUGCAACUUCUACCUCCUUUGUAUUUCAUCGGCGAAGCACCUGGGCUUCGGAGAUAAUGUGAUCCACUCAUGCCUCACAGCGAAUCGGAACAGAAGAAACAAGCCCCUGACUGGUAGGAUAGACCGAAGAUCUACAAUUUUACUGUUACUUCUUCUCUCGGGAGACACUGAACUGUGGGACGGCGUGGCGCAGUGGAAGAGUGGUCGUGCGCAACCCGAGGGUCCCUGGUUCAAUCCCCACCUAGUAUCAACCUCGUCACGUCUGUUGUGUCCUGAGCAAGACACUUCACCCUUGCUCCUGAUGGGUGCUGGUUAGCGCCUUGCAUGACAGCUCCCUCCAUCAGGGUGGGAAUUUGUGUGUGAAUGGGUAAAUGUGGAAGUAGUGUCAAAGCGCUUUGAGUACCUCGAAGGUAGAAAAGCGCUAUACAAGUACAACCCAUUUAACUAAACCCUGGACCAAUAACCACCCGGUUAAUGUUGUCUCGCCUGGCAAAGCCUAGCAAUGUUGUUGCUAACGAAUCCGGGGAAGCUAGCUUAGCUGUCGGAGCUAUGCUAAAAACAUUACCUCUCCACCUACGCCAGCUCUCACUGUUCAUCACCACACAAGCUCACCUGCGUUCCAGCAGUCGGCGGCACGACAGAGGACUUCACCCCGAUCAUCGGUGCGGCUGGCGGCCCGGAGACGGAGGAAGACAGCUCAGACACCGGUGAGGACAACAGCUCGGCGGCGGGCGGUGUAAUGGCUUUUGACGACACCCUGGUCGCCAUUAAAGUCGGCAGUGCGGAGGUCCUCCUAACCUCUCCCGAAACCCUGAGGGUCAUCACCGCGUCACCUGGACCCCCCACGGCCUACAAAGGUUUCAGGGGACUCUUCGUAAAUCCCUGGUCAUUGUUCUCAACAUCACAAAAACCCGCGAAAACCACGUCAACCCCCACCACUCCUACCUGGCCCACCCUCCCCCUCUUCAACUCCGCCCCUCCCCCAAGUCUUGCCACACAAACUUCAAUAACAACCAACAUCCCUCCAUCUUCUGGACAGUACCUCUCCCCAACGGAUUUUGAUGUUCUUUUUGGUUCCGGCGGGCUACACAUCAUCCAUCUUAAUGUGAACAGCCUCUCUGGAAAUAAAGUCGACCAAAUCAGAGAAAUGUUCCACAACAAUAAGGUGAACAUGUCACAACUGUGUGAACAUGGAGACAGUGGCUGAGUGUGCCUGCUAUCAUGAGAUACAGGCAGUGGUCAGAACCAUGGAGCAGGAAAGGGUGGAGACGUGCAUCAUAGAUCACCCUGGCUUUCAAUCUGUGUGUCUGGAUGAAUGGGUGCUGCAGACAGCCUAUACGCCUACAAACAGCAAUAUGGCGUGCUGCAGCAACAGCAAAAUGAGUGGAGACAAUACACGAUAUAUCGACAGUUUGUCCGCUUCUGCUGAGGAUAUCUGGGAAAGGAGAUAAGGGUGGCACUACCAGCUUGUGUAGUACAUAAGAUUAGAACAACAUUUCCAUCGAAGGACUACACGGGUUUCCAAGACGUGCAGUGACUGCAACAGAGUCCACGUGGCCACUGUAGUUAAUGCUUAGCGAAGCGACUCCUGUGCUUGGCGAUGGCUUCCUCCUUGUCUGGCUUCUUCAGUUCAUCCCAGAGGAAGGGAGGCACAUCCACGGUGAUGCUGACUGGUGUUCUCUCGUCAGGGGUCUGUCUGCAGCCAGCAAAAACUUCCCUGGUCAAGUCAUCUACGUAGCCUGCAAAAUACAAUUGUACAUUUUCCUGCUCACAACAUAAGAAACUCAUGGAGAGUGAAACCUGACACUAUUAUUAUCAUGGUACAAAGUGUCGAGUGUUUACAUGUUUUGGGUUUUCUACACUUACAUACCGGUAUGUUGGCUCUGUCGCGAUUUUCUUGACCACAUGGCCCCCUGCUUUUUACUUCGGGUAGCGUACUGCAUAGCGCUCAGCACCCGCUUUUGUAGUGGCUAUAGGGCGGCUCGAGUUUUCAUUCCAGUGCAGCCCAGCAAGCAGGUUCCUAGGUGUGGUAAUAGAAAAUGUAUUAAUUAGACAUCGUGUACUUUACUCAGCAGGGAGCACAGAUACAUUUGAACGUGUAUGUUUAAUAGAGUCAUAUAUCCAUCCAUCCAUUCAUCCAUCCAUUUCCUACCGCUUAUUCCCUUUGGGAUAGCGGGGGGUGCUGGUGCCUAUCUCAGCUACAAUGGG